rnacentral:misc_RNA from 1 species
CUAUUGCCCAGAUGGUUGAGGAGCAGUUUAUUUGUCAACUAAGCAGAAUUGCUCCAGCUACUAAUCCUCCUCUCGGAUUGCUGGAGAGAGAGCAAGGCAUACCUGUAAUUGGUGAGAAUCAACAGCAGAUGGAGGGUGAUAGCACUGCUGGUCAACAAAAUGAUGACCGCCAUAACAAUAGUGGGCAAGAAUCUAGUCAACCAGUUGAAGUUCAGUCUUGUGAAAGGGAAGAAUACAAUCUGGAGGUUGUUGCUGAUCAGGUAGGUGAAUUCCCAGAAGCUGUUGAUCCUAUGGAAAAUGUACUGUUGGACAGGUCAAAUGAUGGUCACGGAAGCAUGGUGAUUGGAGAAGAAAAUGCAAAUCCAAGUGAUAACAUAGAGGGAGCUGCAGGUUAUGCUGUGUCAUCUAUACAAGGUGAAGGCAUUGCGAUGCAUGAUAGGACCGCUGUUGGGGAUUUACACACAUGCAAUGUGACCUCAUCUGAUGUAAACCAUGAUACAACCACUGUAACAGACGGUCGUGCAAUUGAUGAGCCACUUUUAAUAUCUGGGGAAGCAAUGCUGGAUUCCAGUGCUCAUCAUGUUCCUGUAGUUCAGGAGGAUACAGAUGUACACAUGCACGGUACAGAAACAGAAAGGGAGAGUGACCCACCAUUGCCUAUUCUGCCAGAGGAUCCAUCAGUGACUCAGAACCUUCAGGAAGUUCAAGAUGCUAGUCAAACUGAUGAAACUAGUUUGAAUAAUGAAGCUUCUACUGCAAAUGCUAUUGAUCCAACCUUUCUAGAGGCACUUCCUGAAGAUCUUCGGGCAGAGGUUCUUGCAUCGCAGCAGGCUCAGGCUCAGCCUCCAACUUAUACAGCACCAACAGCUGAAGAUAUUGAUCCAGAGUUUUUAGCUGCUCUUCCUCCGGAUAUUCAAGCAGAAGUUCUUGCCCAACAACGUGCUCAAAGGGUCGUACAGCAGGCUGAAGGUCAGCCCGUGGAAAUGGACAAUGCCUCAAUCAUAGCCACAUUUCCAGCUGAUCUGCGUGAAGAGGUUCUGUUAACAUCAUCAGAAGCUGUUUUGUCAGCAUUGCCAUCUACGUUACUCGCUGAAGCGCAAAUGCUUCGGGACAGAGCUAUGAGUCAUUACCAAGCACGCAGCUUGUUUGGAGGCAGCCACAGGCUUCAUGGUCGUAGAAAUGGUCUGGGAUUUGACAGACAGACAGUUAUGGACAGGGGUGUGGGUGUUACAAUUGCCCGGAGGGCUUCAUCCUCUUUUUCAGAGAGUUUGAAGUUGAAGGAACUUGAAGGCGAGCCACUUUUAGAUGCUCAUGGCUUGAAAGCAUUGAUCCGCCUCUUGCGCUUAGCACAGCCUCUUGGGAAAGGUCUGUUGCAAAGACUCUUGUUGAAUUUGUCUGCUCAUAGCAGUACAAGAGCAGUUCUAGUCCACCUUCUUCUUGAAGCUAUCAAGCCCGAGACUGGAGGGGCUGGUGGUGGUUUAACAACCAUUAACUCACAGAGACUUUAUGGCUGUCAGUCGAAUAUUGUUUAUGGACGAUCACAAUUAUUUGAUGGUCUUCCUCCACUGGUAUUGCGGCGGAUUCUGGAGAUCUUAACUUACCUUGCUACCAACCACUCUGCAGUUGCCAGUCUUCUUUUCUACUUUGAUCUCUCGCUUAUUCCAGAGUGGUCAGAUGUGAAGUGUUUGGAAAAUAAGAGGGACAAAGGCAAGGAGAAAAUUGUUGAAGAAGAUCCCUCCAAUCCUUUUAGAAGCUCUAACAAGAGGGAUAUUCCAUUGGUUUUGUUUCUGAAGCUCUUGAACCAGCCACUUUUUUUGCGCAGCAUAGCACAUCUUGAACAGGUCAUGGGACUCCUUCAAGUAGUUGUCUAUACUGCUGCAUCCAAGAUGGAGUGUCAGUCUCAUUCUGAAGAAACAGUAGACCGUUCUCAUAAUGAAACAGUAGAGGGUUCUAAUAAUCCUGAUGGCAAUGAAACUAUGAGUGAUAUACAGAAAGAUCCUGCGUUGCCAGACAUAAAGUCCCCUCAAGAUGAUAGCGGCACUGGUUCUGCCAACCCUGCAUCUGAUGCCAAUGGAAGCACAAUCAUUCAUGACAUCUUCUUGCAGCUGCCACAUUCUGAUUUGCACAAUCUUUGCUGUCUUCUUGGUCAUGAAGGACUCUCAGAUAAAGUUUACAUGCUUGCGGGUGAGGUGUUGAAGAAGCUAGCCUCAGUUGCUGCUCCCCAUCGGAAGUUCUUCAUUUCUGAACUUUCAGAGUUGACUCAAAGGCUGAGCAAGUCAGCUGUGGAAGAGCUUAUCACACUUAAGAAUACACACAUGCUGGGAUUGAGCGCUGGAUCUAUGGCUGGAGCUGCGGUCCUUCGUGUACUACAGACUCUUAGUUCACUAAGUACAGCUUCUGCUGAUGGCAAUACAGACACAUCUAUGGAGGAAGAACAUGAUGAGCAUAACAUCAUGUGGAAGUUAAAUGUUGCACUAGAACCUUUGUGGGAAGGCCUGAGUGAAUGCAUAGGCACCAUGGAGUUAGAGCUCACCCAGAGCACUUCUUCUUCAGUUAUGUCAAGUACCAACACUGGGGAGCAUAUAAAUGAAGCCGGUGCUUCAUCUGUAUCUUCUCCAUUGCCCCCUGGAACUCAGCGUCUGUUACCUUUUAUUGAGGCUUUCUUUGUUCUGUGUGAGAAGCUUCAGGCAAACAUCUCUAUUAUGCAGCAAGAUCAUAUGAAUGCAACUGCAAGAGAAGUGAAAGAGUUAGCCGGUACUUCAGUCAAGUUGUCCUCCAAGUCUGUUGGUGAUUCACAUAAAAGAGUAGAUGGUGCUGUAACAUUUGUAAGAUUUGCGGAAAAGCAUAGGCGCUUGCUUAACGCUUUUGUCAGGCAGAACCCCGGCUUACUGGAGAAAUCACUUUGUGUGAUGCUGAAAGCCCCACGGCUCAUUGAUUUUGACAAUAAAAGAGCUUAUUUUCGCUCGAGAAUAAGGCAGCAGCAUGAACAGCACCUCUCAGGUCCUCUGCGAAUUAGCGUUCGGCGGGCUUAUGUGUUGGAGGAUUCUUAUAAUCAGUUGCGUAUGCGACCCAAUCAAGACCUGAAAGGACGGUUAAAUGUGCAUUUUCAAGGUGAAGAGGGUAUUGAUGCUGGUGGUUUGACGAGAGAGUGGUAUCAAUUGCUAUCAAGGGUCAUAUUUGACAAAGGAGCUUUGCUGUUUACGACUGUUGGGAAUAAUGCAACUUUCCAACCUAACCCAAACUCUGUUUAUCAAACUGAACAUCUCUCAUACUUCAAAUUUGUAGGCCGUGUGGUUGCUAAAGCACUAUUUGACGGGCAGUUGCUGGAUGUUCAUUUUACCCGGUCAUUCUACAAACAUAUCCUUGGUGUGAAGGUCACAUAUCAUGAUAUAGAGGCUGUCGAUCCUGAUUACUAUAAGAACUUGAAGUGGAUGCUGGAGAAUGAUG